rnacentral:rRNA from 1 species
GUGGGUGGCAAGCGUUGUCCGGAAUUAUUGGGCGUAAAGCGCGCGCAGGCGGUUCUUUAAGUCUGAUGUGAAAGCCCACGGCUCAACCGUGGAGGGUCAUUGGAAACUGGAGAACUUGAGUACAGAAGAGGAAAGCGGAAUUCCACGUGUAGCGGUGAAAUGCGUAGAGAUGAGGAGGAACACCAGUGGCGAAGGCGGCUUUCUGGUCUGUAACUGACGCUGAGGCGCGAAAGCGUGGGGAGCAAACAGGGAUUAGAUACCCUGGUAGUCCACGCCGUAAACGAUGAGUGCUAAGUGUUAGGGGGGUUUCCGCCCCCUUAGUGCUGCAGCUAACGCAUUAAGCACUCCGCCUGGGGAGUACGGCCGCAAGGCUG